GUGGGGAAUAUUGGACAAUGGGCGCAAGCCUGAUCCAGCCAUGCCGCGUGUGUGAAGAAGGCCUUUUGGUUGUAAAGCACUUUAAGCGAGGAGGAGGCUCCUUUAGUUAAUACCUAAAGAGAGUGGACGUUACUCGCAGAAUAAGCACCGGCUAACUCUGUGCCAGCAGCCGCGGUAAUACAGAGGGUGCGAGCGUUAAUCGGAUUUACUGGGCGUAAAGCGUGCGUAGGCGGCUUUUUAAGUCGUAUGUGAAAUCCCUGAGCUUAACUUAGGAAUUGCAUUCGAUACUGGAAAGCUAGAGUAUGGGAGAGGAUGGUAGAAUUCCAGGUGUAGCGGUGAAAUGCGUAGAGAUCUGGAGGAAUACCGAUGGCGAAGGCAGCCAUCUGGCCUAAUACUGACACUGAGGUGCGAAAGCAUGGGGAGCAAACAGGAUUAGAAACCCCAGUAGUCC
rnacentral:rRNA from 1 species